CUGUGAAAUUCUUCUAUUGCAUGCAGCUAAACUCAUCCUUAUCGUCUGCUCAUAUGCUCUCAACUUAUAUUCUUCUAUUGUACACUAUAACUGUGCUCAAAGCAGUACUCUUCUGCAUGCUAUCAAAAAAGUGGUGCUUUUUUUUGUAUAGACUAACCUUUCUUAGUAGUUCAGUAAUGCAGGCAAUGAGCAUUUUAGAUUACCAUUGUUUCUCCCAACAUUAGUCAGUAAAUGAAUGUGUAGCAUGACGACAACUGCUGAAUGUUUUUUUGAUUUAAUGUUUACGCUAGAUUAUCUCAGCGUAAUGGUUAUAUCUUUACAGUUUCGAUGACCAUUCAAUCUUUUGAUAGACAUCAUUGAGAGUGAAUUGCACAUUGAAUCACUGUAUUGCUUGGCUGAUUCAAGUAGGUCAUGAACUCCUAAACUGCAUCUUCAGGCUACUUUAAAUGUGUCAGUCUAGAUCAUUAGCGUGCUAAGUCACGUAUAACCAAUGACAUGGCUUGUUGAGUUGAACAAUGCACAUGACAUACAACUAGUUGCAAUACAGGUACCUCAAUAUACUAGAGGUAGCUAAACCUCUUGUCACAGGUUCACAUCCAGUUGCCCACUAGUUUUGUCCUUGAACUACGCAGAAGAGCUGCGUGUCAUUUCAUUAAGACAGAUGAAGAAGCACAAAAGACUGAACAGAGGCCCAGCCCGAUUACAAGAGAGCAAAGACAAGUACUGUGUUUGAAGCCCUUACUGAGAUGAGAUGGAUCUCUGAUAUAGAGAGAGUAGUUACAGUGGCUGCCUUGACUGAAUACCUCGGCCUAUGGAACCUCCUUUCAGAUUCUGUACUGCAGCCAGAGUUCAAUUCAGGCCAUGGGAAAGAAUAUGAAAGCGCUGGGCACCUGGUAAGUGUAAAUUCUUCAUGCGGUUCGUUUCCCAUAAGGCCAUAACAAAUGUUGGACCGCCGAUCGCCUCGCCAAAAGGGGGCUGCCACACCCUGAAUGCUGUCCACUUUGCGACCAAGUUGAGGAGACAAUUGACCACUUUCCAGUUUCAUGUUUUUUCACUCGGCAACUGUGGUUCAACAUCCUGCAUAAGUUUGGUGUGCAGUCCCUAUGUCCUCAGCCCAACGACAUCUCCUUUAAUGAUCGGUGGGCAAGAUUAGUUUCUAGAAUGGAUGGUUAGAUAAAAAACUUCUCAACUCCAUAAUGUUGGGGGCCUGAUCAAUCUAAAAUGACCGUAGUUGCUACUCAUUAGAGAGGAGUUUCUAUUUUGGAGUCUGGAUGGGCUAGAGGAAUUUUUGAUCUCUUUGCUUACUGCCAAGUGCAGACUAGGGCUCUUUUUUGGUUGAUGUCAAGUCUUUCACUGUAAUAGGCUAGCAGUGUGUCGGUGAAAAGAUCCCCGGGCCCUUGAGACCCACUAGUGAGUGGAAGGACAAGGGAAAGGAAAGCUCCGGAAGCACCCACUCCCGGAUAGUCCUGAGGCAUCGAGCCCGAGAUCGGGCGAGCUAGAGCUAGAAGGGGGGUCGGGCGAAUCGAGGGGAAGCCACUCGAGUGGAUUCCGCGCCUGACCCAAGAUCGACCCAUCGGAACUGACCGACCACAUUAACGGCUCCUAGCACCGAGCCGCCGUGGUAGAGUCGGUCCUCCUUCCACUCAUGACCUACGGGCCCCUAGGCUUGCGGCCCACUCAUGUUCUAUCAACCCUAGGCCUGAGUGCACUGGCCGUCAACAGGACCCGCAACAUGAUAAGCCAUGACGAGACGCAGGCUACGGAGGCUUGGGGCCAGCGUGGCGCACAUGCGGUAAUAAUGGUGUCGGAGCUCUUCGCCACCCACGUCGCUAGUCUUAAAGAGCGCGUCUAGAGAAGCCCAGCCGACCGAAGUGCAUGCCGACAGGCACGACUUUACCGUGGUAGAACACCUCAUUUUAGCACAGUGCAAUAGCUCCUUGAGAAGCUAUCGGUAACCGACCCACACCUUGUACUUUAAAAGGGGAACGAUCGGCCUAGCACGGGUGGCCUCCAAUCCCUCUGCCCACAACCGGGAGACCUUUCUUUUGAGAAUUGGUGGAGAAGGUGUAACUAGGCUAUCACUACUCUAGUAAGAAAAGGAUUGAACUCAACCAUCAUCUUGGGAACCUAGUGUUUGUGGAGACAUCACAAUAGAUUUGUUUUUGAUGGGACCUCUCCUAAUGCUAGUCUUUUAACUAUGGCAGAGGAUGAUUUGAAGCUCUGGAGUUUAGUAGGCGCAAAGGGUCUUUCCCUCUUGCGUGGUCUGUUAGGGGGAAAUGGAGUCCGAGCCUCUAGUCUUUUAGUCCUUUGUGUUUUUGGCGCGGUUUUGUCGCGUUGUAAUUAGUGGUUGUUGUAGGAUUUCUUAACCCCUUGUUUCUCCUUAAUAUAAAUGAUAUGCAACUCUCCUGCGUAUUUGAGAAAAAAUGAUACGCGACCAGCACAAAACACGCGUAGACGGACGGAGGACCACACUAGAGCGCGCAGAAGACUAUAGAGGCCAAAGCCAAGGAGUACGACACCCAAGACUUAGCUAGGUCGAGAGCACCAAAUUCGUAGUCCUUAGGCCACUCCACGCAUAAGAGACUUGGGAGCCUCCUCCCUCUCUUGCCCGCUUGUAACCCCUACUACGAGCAUUGAGCAACAAAGGUGUUGGUAACGCGAGCCAUCGAAGACUGGAUGUAGAGACGUUCUGUCCGAACCAGUAUAAAUCUCGCGCCCACUGAGCACACAAUCCGGACCCCCGGAACGCGCACAAACAAAUUUAUUUGUUGGAGCUGGUUCAAAACACAGACAGUUGGCGCACUAGGAAGGGGACUUGCAUGUUCUCGACGACUUCUCCAGGCUCCGGAUGGCCGACCACGUCAUAGUCUGGGCCCCGGAACGAUCAUCCGUUUUGGGAGCCUCGAUGUCAGGGCCCAAGAGGGCCCGCUAUAGUGCCGGUACAGUAAUAGCAUCGCUGUAGCACGCCCCUUAGGUUAUUUAGCCUGUCCCCAACAAGGGCUGCUAUAACGUUCUGUACUCUAAAUAUAGCGCUCGCAGUUGAACUCUACGCGCCCAACAAUAGACUGUAAACGAUACUCUAAAAUUUAGAGGACGCCGCACGCACGCUAGAUGUGGAGACUUCUGAGCGUCCGCUAUCCGAGCGAGGGAUCGGGCUCCCGCGGGGGUGAAAUUUCCGCACUCUCGGUUCUCCCGUCCCUGGCGACUUCGAUCCCUAUUGGCGAGGGGGCCUCGCGGCGUGGGUCGGCGGAGGAGGCGGCCAAGCUCAUGUUUCUGAACCAUAUUUUUGUUGUUAUUCCUAGUUGUUUGCGAAUUUGACAUUUUUCAGUACUUUCAUGCUUGAACAAUGUAAUGUUGGUUGAUGAUACUGGACUUGUUAUUUUAUUACAAACUUUCAGCAUGACACAUCGACAUAUUACUCUUCUUGGACACACAUGACACAUUACACAAUGAAGUUUGGCACAAACUGAAACUACGACAUGACACAUUACACCUGACACUACGACAUUUUAUAAAAUGUCGUCAUUUUAUUGUUGAUGCAAACAUAAACUUCAAACUUAAGCAGCUCCAGAUCCAAGGCGCACCCAGUGGUGGUGGAUAAGAUCAACCUGCAACUGAGUAUAUCUGACGGGAUCAUGCAGUUGCUCGUACAUAUUGUUGUUGUACUCAUUGCGCUCGGCCAUGCAACCAUGACUAGUGUCCGCCAAUACUCCGAUGUUGUCGAAGCUUGUGUUCAAAGAUGAAGGACCUUUGUCUUCUACUACCAUGUUGUGCAAGAUGAUGCAAGUUUUCAUUA